AACGAACGCUGGCGGCAGGCUUAACACAUGCAAGUCGAGCGCCCCGCAAGGGGAGCGGCAGACGGGUGAGUAACGCGUGGGAAUCUACCCAUCUCUACGGAAUAACGCAUGGAAACGUGUGCUAAUACCGUAUACGUCCUUCGGGAGAAAGAUUUAUCGGAGAUGGAUGAGCCCGCGUUGGAUUAGCUAGUUGGUGGGGUAAAGGCCUACCAAGGCGACGAUCCAUAGCUGGUCUGAGAGGAUGAUCAGCCACACUGGGACUGAGACACGGCCCAGACUCCUACGGGAGGCAGCAGUGGGAAUCUUGGACAAUGGGGGCAACCCUAAUCCAGCCAUGCCGCGUGGGUGAUGAAGGCCUUAGGGUCGUAAAGCCCUUUCGCUGGGGAAGACAAUGACGGUACCCAGAGAAGAAGCCCCGGCUAACUCCGUGCCAGCCGCCGCGGUAAAAC
rnacentral:rRNA from 1 species